GACGAACGCUGGCGGCGUGCUUAACACAUGCAAGUCGAACGGAAAGGCCCUGAUCUUGUGGGGUGCUCGAGUGGCGAACGGGUGAGUAACACGUGAGUAACCUGCCCUUGUCUUUGGGAUAACUUCAGGAAACUGGGGCUAAUACCGGAUAGGAGCUUCUGCUGCACGGUGGGGGUUGGAAAGUUUCGGCGGUUGGGGAUGGACUCGCGGCUUAUCCGCUUGUUGGUGGGGUAGUGGCUUACCAAGGCUUUGACGGGUAGCCGGCCUGAGAGGGUGACCGGCCACAUUGGGACUGAGAUACGGCCCAGUCUCCUACGGGAGGCAGCAGUGGGGAAUAUUGCACAAUGGGCGGAAGCCUGAUGCAGCAACGCCGCGUGCGGGAUGACGGCCUUCGGGUUGUAAACCGCUUUCGCCUGUGACGAAGCGUGAGUGACGGUAAUGGGUAAAGAAGCACCGGCUAACUACGUG
rnacentral:rRNA from 1 species